GACGAACGCUGGCGGCGUGCUUAACACAUGCAAGUCGAACGGAAAGGCCCUGCUUUUGUGGGGUGCUCGAGUGGCGAACGGGUGAGUAACACGUGAGUAACCUGCCCUUGACUUUGGGAUAACUUCAGGAAACUGGGGCUAAUACCGGAUAGGAGCUCCUGCUGCAUGGUGGGGGUUGGAAAGUUUCGGCGGUUGGGGAUGGACUCGCGGCUUAUCAGCUUGUUGGUGGGGUAGUGGCUUACCAAGGCUUUGACGGGUAGCCGGCCUGAGAGGGUUACCGGCGACAUUGGGACUGAGAUACGGCGCAGACUCCUACGGGAGGCAGCAGUGGGGAAUAUUGCACAAUGGGCGGAAGCCUGAUGCAGCAACGCCGCGUGCGGGAUGACGGCCUUCGGGUUGUAAACCGCUUUCGCCUGUGACGAAGAGUGAGUGACGGUAAUGGGUAAAGAAGCACCGGCUAACUACGUG
rnacentral:rRNA from 1 species